rnacentral:rRNA from 1 species
GUGGGGAAUCUUGCGCAAUGGGCGAAAGCCUGACGCAGCGACGCCGCGUGGGUGAUGAAGGCCUUCGGGUUGUAAAGCUCUUUGGGUGGAGACGAAUAAGUCGUGGCUAACAUCCACGAUGAUGACGGUAUCCACAUAACAAGCACCGGCUAACUCUGUGCCAGCAGCCGCGGUAAGACAGAGGGUGCAAACGUUGUUCGGAAUUACUGGGCGUAAAGCGCAUGUAGGCGGCCAAGCAGGUCGGAUGUGAAAUCCCUCGGCUCAACCAAGGAAGUGCAUUCGAAACCGCAUGGCUGGAGUCCCGGAGAGGAAGGUGGAAUUCUCGGUGUAGAGGUGAAAUUCGUAGAUAUCGAGAGGAACACCGGUGGCGAAAGCGGCCUUCUGGACGAGGACUGACGCUGAGAUGCGAAAGCGUGGGGAGCAAACAGGAUUAGAAACCCGAGUAGUCC